UACGUAGGGUGCAAGCGUUAAUCGGAAUUACUGGGCGUAAAGCGUGCGCAGGCGGUUAUGUAAGACAGAUGUGAAAUGCCCGGGCUUAACCUGGGAACUGCAUUUGUGACUGCAUGGCUAGAGUUUGGCAGAGGGGGGUAGAAUUCCACGUGUAGCAGUGAAAUGCGUGAGAUAUGUGGAGGAACACCGAUGGCGCAAGGCAGCCCCCUGGGUCAAGACUGACGCUCAUGCACGAAAGGCGUGGGGAGCAAACGAGGAUUACGAAACCCCGG
rnacentral:rRNA from 1 species